AACACUCAAACACUAACACCACAUGUCCUUUAUUACCACAGUGGAGCUCUUUACAAAUUAUUACUCAGCCAGGCCAAGGGAAAUGGCAGAAUGCUGUGCGUUUUCCUGAUCAGAUCUCGUGGUAUAGGUCUGUACAGCAUUAUGUCUCGUGGGCCCCUAGUCUUCCUCAAGAAGUGAGCCAGGAUCAGAAGAAAGACCUGUCUCUGAAUAUUCUGUUCGUGGAUAGCAUCCUACCAACAGUAGCUAGAGAUUUCAUUCUUCUGGUAUGUGGGCAAGUAAGCCUUAGAAAAGACCCAACUGUAUUAAGCUAGCAGAGAGCACUAUUCUGUUGGAUUAUUUCUAAUGAAAAGCUUAUGCAAACAGUAGUGCAUAAAUGACUAUGAUACUACUACAGUAUAUUAUACUCACACAAAAGAAGACGGAGGAAAGGACUAUAGAAUGCAAUCACUUCUAAAUAUGACUGCCAAGUUACCACUUCAUGAAAUGAAAUAAUACAUGAACAGUAUACUACAUAGUUCCAUCUCAGCAUCUGUACUUCAUCCAAGGAUUUUAGAGGCUUCAAACUACAGCAUCAGAUUCUUCCCAAUUAGUGCAUCUAUAAACACUCUAGGUUUCCACUCAUACUACGUCCCCAACCACUCCUGGAGACCAGCUGGCAGAACAGGGGGCAGGGAAAUGGAGGCAAGUUUCCAAGGACAAAAGAUUUUCUAGACACAAGACCCAAACCAGGGCACCACUGCUGCUGAGUGGAUACGGAGCAGAACACAGACCAGAGCACGGACAAAGCAAGGAGGAGAACACGGAGCAGAGCACAGACCAGAACACGGACCAAAGCAAGGAGGAGAACACGGAGCAGAGCACGGAGCAGAGCACAGCCAGAGUGCCCUUUCCAUUGCUCCGUGGAUGAGCCAAGGCCACAGCUCCUUUAGCCAGAACAAAAUUAAGAAAUGCCAACAUCGUAUGCCGGUUCCACAUGAGGGGGAGAAGCGGGGAACUGGCUAACUGUGACUGUGAUGGGCAGGAAAAACAUCUCAGAGAAGCUUGCAUCUCAGAGUCAGAUGAGGAAGCGUGCAGAGGGUGUCGCACACUGGA